UUCAACACCAGAUCUAUUUCCAUUUAAUCAACUUUGGAAUUUGGGGCUUAUAAACGAUAUAGUAAAAGUUGAUGCUGGAAGUGACCUUUGACGUGAGCAAAGGCUGUUUUAGCUUUUGUUUCUGUGAAAAAACUCAGUACCGCUAGAGGUCACUGCAGUUAUUAGCAACACAGCGGUGAGAGCAGGCUGAUUUACAGGACAGCAGGGCCUGAGGACACUCGGAAUUUGCCAGCAGCAGACGCACGGGCAAAAGAUCUGACAAUGUGUUGAGAGGACUAGGGAACAGAAUACGGUUUUCAUAAUUUAUUAUAAUCAGCCCUUACUGUAUGGCCAGCAUCUCUUUCUCCCUGCAAGGAGACUGCUGGGGUCACAGCAGGAAGCACGGAAAUCUUGGAACAUAAACUCAGAGUGUUGCCUACAUUUGUUCACUGCCCCAACCCGCCUGUCCUGUCAGGGACUGUGGACUCCGUGACUUUCUCCAUGUGCUGGACCUUGGCCUGGUCACUGUUCCAGGGACUCUUUGAACCUAUCCCAAGCUCGUGUCAGACAAAAGCCAUGAUCGAUUCCCUGCACCAUCCUGAAGAACGGAGGGUAAUAUCGCACCUUCAAGCUGCACCAGCUGGUAAACAAUACAGCUUGUACCCGGCUUCAUAAACACACCGCCUUCCUACAAAGGCCCUUGCAAACGCAGUGUGAUAGGACUUGACCUUAAAAGCUAUAGACAAUCUAAUGGAGCACAGACGGCUUCAUAAAGCACAAUCACUUCCUGGAAUUCUUGGGCCAGUGCAGUCGGAGCCGUGCAAAUCCUGUUUUCCUUGCAUCGUUUCCUGCAUGUGAAUAUCAUCAGUCUAGCAGCUCUGUAACCAUGGCACUGGUAAAUAGCUGAGGGGCAACUUCUGA